AAAAGUUCAGGUGAUUUUUAGCAUAUUUUAGCAAUAAAGUAUUUUUAAAUUAAGGUAUAUACAUUGGUUUUUUGUUAGUCACAAUGCUAUUGCACUCUUAGUAGACAACAGUGUAGUGUUAAGCAUAACUUUUGUAUGUACUAGGAGAUCAGAAAAUUCAUGUGGCUCGCUUUAUUGCAGUUAUUUUCAUAUCACAUUGUAGUUGUAUAUAUCUCAAAAUGUUAUUUUGUUCAUCCCUGCUUCAAAAUGAUAGCCAUUAUUAGACCUGCAACAAGAUCCUAUUAUUGAGUGAAUACAGAAGCACAUUUGUCAUAAUUUUGCUUUUGAACCGUUUGAAAACUGGAUUUCAGUAUAGUUUCUUUUUUUCUAGUAAUUUGAGUAUUUUCAGUGUUAAAAAGGUAUUCUGAGAUAAGAUCCAGAUGCAUAGGGACACCUUCUGUAGAAAAGAUUGGGACUCCUUGAUAACAGAAGAUCUGAUAUUGUGUAAAAAAAAAAAAAAGAUUGGGAACCCUUACUUUUACGUUCUUCUGAGGUACCACCACCCAUGUAUCCUGAGCACUCCUAUUUCUUGCUACAAUGCAGUUCUUUCCCUUCACUCUUCCUUUCAUCUGCUCAAACUACUUGCAGAGACUCAACUGCAGCCAAUGUACUCCACUCAAAAUCCAAGGAGUUCUGAUUGGUGGGGUUUUCUUUCAGCUGCAUUCAUG
rnacentral:lncRNA from 1 species